CAGCGGUGAAAGUUUGCAGCUUAACUGUAAAAAUGCCGUUGAAACUGUUAGACUUGAGUGUAAAUGAGGUAGGCGGAAUGCGUGGUGUAGCGGUGAAAUGCUUAGAUAUCACGCAGAACUCCGAUUGCGAAGGCAGCUUACCAAGCUACAACUGACACUGAAGCACGAAAGCGUGGGGAUCAAACAGGAUUAGAUACCCUGGUAGUCCACGCAGUAAACGAUGAUUACUAGCUGUUUGCGAUACACAGUAAGCGGCACAGCGAAAGCGUUAAGUAAUCCACCUGGGGAGUACGCCGGCAACGGUGAAACUCAAAGGAAUUGACGGGGGCCCGCACAAGCAGUGGAGUAUGUGGUUUAAUUCGAAGCAACGCGAAGAACCUUACCAGGUCUUGACAUCCAACUAACGAAGCAGAGAUGCAUCAGGUGCCCUUCGGGGAAAGUUGAGACAGGUGGUGCAUGGUUGUCGUCAGCUCGUGUCGUGAGAUGUUGGGUU
rnacentral:rRNA from 1 species